rnacentral:ncRNA from 1 species
UUAAAAACGAUGAAGAGAAGAGUAACUGACGAAAGCGAUAAAAGAGAACCCGGAUGGUGAGAAAGGGGAUGGCGGCAAUCGGUGAAGAUGAGCUCGGAGUAUUUAAGUAGUUUACGCUACUUAAACGGAAGCAACCGUUAUCUUGCCAGGUUUCACUUAAAGAAGUCGAACUGUUGAGGUGGUAGGUUAUCCCUAUCAUGAAUAAGGGUGGUAACACGGAAAAUAUCCGUCCCUUUG